CCCUUAGAUGUUCUGGGCCGCACGCGCGCUACACUGACCAGUGCAACAAGCAUCCGUCCUUGGCCGACAGGCUCGGGCAAUCUUUGAACGCUGGUCGUGAUGGGGAUAGACUUUUGCAAUUUUUGGUCUUCAACGAGGAAUUCCUAGUAAACGCAAGUCAUCAACUUGCAUUGAUUACGUCCCUGCCCUUUGUACACACCGCCCGUCGCACCUACCGAUUGAAUGGUCCGGUGAAAUCUCGGGACGGCGGCUUGGUCGCUUGCGUCCGACUGCUGAAACUUGAUUAAACCAUAUCAUUUAGAGGAAGGUGAAGUCGUAACA
rnacentral:rRNA from 1 species